rnacentral:rRNA from 1 species
AGCGAACGCUGGCGGCAGGCUUAACACAUGCAAGUCGAGCGGGCGUAGCAAUACGUCAGCGGCAGACGGGUGAGUAACGCGUGGGAACGUACCUUUUGGUUCGGAACAACACAGGGAAACUUGUGCUAAUACCGGAUAAGCCCUUACGGGGAAAGAUUUAUCGCCGAAAGAUCGGCCCGCGUCUGAUUAGCUAGUUGGUGAGGUAACGGCUCACCAAGGCGACGAUCAGUAGCUGGUCUGAGAGGAUGAUCAGCCACAUUGGGACUGAGACACGGCCCAAACUCCUACGGGAGGCAGCAGUGGGGAAUAUUGGACAAUGGGCGCAAGCCUGAUCCAGCCAUGCCGCGUGAGUGGUGAAGGCCCUAGGGUUGUAAAGCUCUUUUGUGCGGGAAGAUAAUGACGGUACCGCAAGAAUAAGCCCCGGCUAACUUCGUGCCAGCCGCCGCCGUAAUAC